rnacentral:rRNA from 2 species
UGAAAGUACAACCCUGAACGGUGGAUCACUCGGCUCGUGGGUCGAUGAAGAACGCAGCAAAUUGCGCGUCGACAUGUGAACUGCAGGACACAUGAACAUCGACAUUUCGAACGCACAUUGCGGUCCAUGGAUUCCGUUCCCGGACCACGCCUGGCUGAGGGUCGGUAGCUAAAA